UUUAAGCUGCUAUUUUUACCUUCCCAAGGUUUUGAUGAAAGCUUGCCCAAACCUAUGCUGUCCAAUUUGUUGGAAAUUUUGGGAACUGUACUACAAAUACUUAUUGUGGCAAAAUUCUGGUUUGCUUAUGAGCUACUCAACCUCAUCCUGCAUCGGCAUCUGCUUAUUGGUCAAUGGCCAAGGAAUGAAAUGGACACCAUCCUCUUUGUCAUGGGAAAGUGGCUGCUAAGAAGAUGGCUGUAAUAGAUGACUCUUCCAGUGAGAGGAAGGAAAAAAAGAUCCCUGGGUUCACAUAUUAUAAAACUCAUGCUUGCCAGAACAGGACAGGAUGAGACAGGUGGUGUGCUACCAGAGUAUCCCACAGAUUGAGAACCAAGUUUCAGAGUUUUCAGAAGUGACCCAAUUCUGUUAAUGUGCAGCUGGAGGAGUUGGUGGUGGCGGCAGUGUUCUCCAGGGGCGAAAAGGAGUGAGGCCUCUGUAAGGAAAAGGUGGAAGAGACAAGAUCAGAAAAAGGAAAGGAGGUUUUGUCACAGAAGAUACCCUGAUUGUCUCAGUCUACUUAUAUAAUGGGAACAAAUGAUAUAUAAGCUAAAGCGGCAUAUCUAAGAAAAGAUUCCACCAGGAAAUCAAAGAUGAUUGUUUACCAUUCUUCUUUAGCAUGUACCUUUGUGGUAUUGCAAUAACAAGAUAGACACUGCACUUGGUUCAUCAGCAGCCAAAAACGAAGAUCUUCUUAAGAUGGUUCAAAGGCCACCUUGCAUGAUACCCACUGGGCUUCACUUCAAGGAGAAGAGUCUUUAAUCAAGCAGAUUCAUUGAUCCAGAACAGAAUCUAAAGAGACUGUCCAUUUACAAGGGAAAUUUUGUAAUUGUACUUUUAUAAAAUUACAGAGAAUGGGGAAAGUUCCACCAAGGAACAUGAAAACAUUCUGAAAUUCCAGUAUUAAGUUUGAGAUCUAUUGUCAAACUGUUUCUUGGACUGCU